GAAAAGCUAGUUCCUGUAUGAUCACUAAAGUUAAGCAACCUUGAGCCUUGUCACUACUUAGAUGGGUGACUAUUUGGGAAUACCAGGUGCUGUAAG